rnacentral:rRNA from 1 species
UACGAGUGCCUCAAGCGUUAUCCGGAAUUACUGGGCGUAAAGGGUGUGUAGGCGGUCGUAAUUAGUCUUUCGUUAAAGCCCCGGGCUUAACUCGGGAUCUGCGAAAGAAACGGUACGACUAGAGAAUGCGAGGGGUAUGCGGAACUCAAAGUGUAGGGGUGAAAUCCGUUGAUAUUUUGGGGAACACCAAAAGCGAAAGCAGCAUACUGGCGCAUUUCUGACGCUGAGACACGAAAGCGUGGGUAGCGAAUGGG